rnacentral:rRNA from 1 species
CGGGGUGCACAGGCGCGAAAACUUUACAAUGCUGGAAACCGUGAUAAGGGGACACCGAGUGCCAGCAUCAUAUGCUGGCUGUCCGGGUGUGUAAAAUACACCCGUUAGCAAGGGCCGGGCAAGACCGGUGCCAGCCGCCGCGGUAACACCGGCGGCCCGAGUGGUGAUCGUGAUUAUUGGGUCUAAAGGGUCCGUAGCCGGUUUGGUCAGUCCUCCGGGAAAUCUGACGGCUCAACCGUUAGGCUUUCGGGGGAUACUGCCAGGCUUGGAACCGGGAGAGGUAAGAGGUACUACAGGGGUAGGAGUGAAAUCUUGUAAUCCCUGUGAGACCACCUGUGGCGAAGGCGUCUUACCAGAACGGGUUCGACGGUGAGGGACGAAAGCUGGGGGCACGAACCGGAUUAGAUACCCGGGUAGUCCCAGCCGUAAACGAUGCUCGCUAGGUGUCAGGCAUGGCGCGACCGUGUCUGGUGCCGCAGGGAAGCCGUGAAGCGAGCCACCUGGGAAGUACGGCCGCAAGGCUGAAACUUAAAGGAAUUGGCGGGGGAGCAC